rnacentral:misc_RNA from 1 species
AACGCACAUUGCACUCCUCUGGAGUAUGCCUGUUUGAGAAUCUAUAGUAUUAAUUUCUUGUGAUUUCAUUCGUGAAUGAGCAGGGAGAUAUGAAGUUCCCACCUCUUGGUGGGCUCUUUUAAAUAGAUUGCUACUAGUAAUACGAAAAUGCUUGACAUUUCUCUAUAUAUCUAUUAGAAAAGUAUGUGUAUGAAACUGUGGUUUCUCAUAAUGCCUACUAUUUUAGAGGAGAUUUGGAGUUUUCAUAUGAACAGUUUAGUCCAUACCUAUAAAGGCGCAAGCCUUGAACCAUGGUCUCAAAUCAGGUAGGAAGACCCGCUGAACUUAA